GGAUUGUGGCUCAGUGGUGGAGCACUUGCCUAGCAUGUGUGAGGCACAGGGUUCAAUCCUCAGCACCA
rnacentral:tRNA from 1 species